rnacentral:snRNA from 1 species
AUACUUACCUGAAAGGGGAGAUAGCAUGAUCAUGAAGGUGGUUUUCCCAGGGCAAGGCUUAUCCGUUGCAUUCCAGAAGUGCUAAACCUGCAAUUUCCCCAUAUGUGGGAAACUUAGUUGCAUAAUUUGUGGUAGUGGGGGACUGUGUUCAUGCUCUUUCCUA